UACGUAGGGUGCGAGCGUUAAUCGGAAUUACUGGGCGUAAAGCGUGCGCAGGCGGUUAUAUAAGACAGAUGUGAAAUCCCCGGGCUCAACCUGGGAACUGCAUUAGUGACUGUAUAGCUAGAGUGCGGCAGAGGGGGAUGGAAUUCCGCGUGUAGCAGUGAAAUGCGUAGAUAUGCGGAGGAACACCGAUGGCGAAGGCAAUCCCCUGGGCCUGCACUGACGCUCAUGCACGAAAGCGUGGGGAGCAAACAGGAUUAGAUACCCUGGUAGUCCACGCCCUAAACUAUGUCAACUGGUUGUUGGGAAUUCACUUUCUCAGUAACGAAGCUAACGCGUGAAGUUGACCGCCUGGGGAGUACGGCCGCAAGGUUA
rnacentral:rRNA from 1 species